CGGUAAUAGCUUUUGUUCACAUCGGUAGUAUCUUUUGUUGCUGGCGGUAAUAUCUUUUGCUGGUGACUGUAGUAGCUUUUGUUUACGGCGGUAAUAUCUUUGUUGAUAGUAGUUUUUCAUAUGCUUGGUAGUAUCUUUUGUGACCUCGCCGGAGGUCACCGGAAUCUUAGUAUCGUAGCUUUUGUAGCUGGUGGUAGUAGAUUUUGUUAUGUUCGGUAGUAUUUUUUGUUACUGGCGAUAGUAUUUUUUGUGACCUCGCCGGAGGUCGUCGAAGAUCUCACCAUAGUAGUUUUUAUAGCCGAUGGUAGUAGUUUUUAUAGCCGGUGGUAGUAGCCUUUGUUGCUAGUGACAGUAUCUUUUGCAAUCUUCAGUUACAUUGUCGGAGGUCAACGGUAAAAUUGUCGGAGGUCGGUCAGAAACUUUACCUGAAGUCAGCCAGAGACCUGUCAGUGGUAGUAGCUUUCUUUGCUGGUCGUAGUAGCUUUUGUUGCUAUCGGUAAUAGCUUUCUUUGCUGGUGACAGUAGCCUUUUUUGCUAUCGGUAGUAUAUUUUGUUGUCAGUAGUAGUAGCUUUCUUUGCUGGCAGUAGUAGCUUUUGUUGCUAUCAGUAGUAGAUUUCUUUGCUGGUGACAGUAAUUUUUUUUUCCAUCAGUAGUUACUUUUGUUGUCAGUGGUAGUAGCUUUCUUUGUCAGUGGUAGUAGCUUUCUUUGUCAGCGGUAGUAGCUUUUGUUGUCACUGGUAGUAGCUUUUGUGGUCGCUAGAAUCCUCAUAGAUGGUCGGCCGGAAAGUUCGCCGGAGGUCGGUCGGAAAGUUCGCCGGAAGUCGGUUGGAAAUUUCGCCGGAG
rnacentral:lncRNA from 1 species